UACGAAGGGGGCUAGCGUUGCUCGGAAUCACUGGGCGUAAAGGGUGCGUAGGCGGGUCUUUAAGUCAGGGGUGAAAUCCUGGAGCUCAACUCCAGAACUGCCUUUGAUACUGAGGACCUUGAGCUCGGGAGAGGUGAGUGGAACUCCGAGUGUAGAGGUGAAAUUCGUAGAUAUUCGGAAGAACAUCAGUGGCGAAAGCGGCUUCCUGGACCAGAACUGACGAUCAGGCACGAAAGCGUGGGGAGCAAACAGG
rnacentral:rRNA from 1 species